GCCCAGACUCCUACGGGAGGCAGCAGUGGGGAAUAUUGCACAAUGGGGGAAACCCUGAUGCAGCGACGCCGCGUGAAGGAUGAAGUAUUUCGGUAUGUAAACUUCUAUCAGCAGGGAAGAAAAUGACGGUACCUGACUAAGAAGCCCCGGCUAACUACGUGCCAGCAGCCGCGGUAAUACGUAGGGGGCAAGCGUUAUCCGGAUUUACUGGGUGUAAAGGGGGCGCAGACGGCAGCGCAAGCCAGGAGUGAAAGCCCGGGGCCCAACCCCGGGACUGCUCUUGGAACUGCGCGGCUGGAGUGCAGGAGGGGCAGGCGGAAUUCCUGGUGUAGCGGUGAAAUGCGUAGAUAUCAGGAGGAACACCGGUGGCGAAGGCGGCCUGCUGGACGGCGACUGACGUUGAGGCCCGAAAGCGUGGGGAGCAAACAGGAUUAGAUACCCCCGUAAGC
rnacentral:rRNA from 1 species